UCGUGGAGUGAUUUGUCUGGUCUAUUCCGAUAACGAGCGAGACCCCGACGUUCCUACUAGGGGCGGCAGCCCGGCUCGUGCCCUCGGGCGCUUGCUAGCAGCCGCCUUUCAAUAGCUUCUUAGACGGAUCAGAGCCGAUAAGGUUCUUGAAAUGGGUUAAUAACA
rnacentral:rRNA from 1 species